AUUGAACGCUUGCGGCAUGCCUUACACAUGCAAGUCGAACGGCAGCACGGGUGCUUGCACCUGGUGGCGAGUGGCGAACGGGUGAGUAAUACAUCGGAACGUACCUUAUCGUGGGGGAUAACGCAGCGAAAGUUGCGCUAAUACCGCAUACGCCCUGAGGGGGAAAGCGGGGGACCGUAAGGCCUCGCGCGAUUAGAGCGGCCGAUGUCUGAUUAGCUUGUUGGUGAGGUAAAAGCUCACCAAGGCGAUGAUCAGUAGCUGGUCUGAGAGGACGAUCAGCCAGACUGGGACUGAGACACGGCCCAGACUCCUACGGGAGGCAGCAGUGGGGAAUUUUGGACAAUGGGGGCAACCCUGAUCCAGCAAUGCCGCGUGAGUGAAGAAGGCCUUCGGGUUGUAAAGCUCUUUUGUCAGGGAAGAAACAGCAGCUCUAACACAGUCUGCGAAUGACGGUACCUGAAGAAUAAGCACCGGCUAACUACGUGCCAGCCGCCGCAGUAA
rnacentral:rRNA from 1 species